rnacentral:lncRNA from 1 species
CUUUAUGAUAGCAUCAUUUUUAUUCCAGAUUUAUAUUCUAAUGCAUAUUAUUUCCUGAUGACUCUCAGUCCUUGUGUCAAUUAAGCCAGAAUGUUGGAAUAAAUGAUACUGUUAUCAAGUAUCAGUCUGUUGAAAAUUACUCCCUGUACCAAUUUUUCAAAGUCCAAUACUGUGAAAGAGUCAUAAUAUUUUAGUUUUCUUCUCCCUUUAUGGUUUCUUGAUUUGUUAUGACAGUUUUAGGAAAUGGCAAGCAGCUACCCCCCAAAAAAAUGCUAUUGAUACUUGUGAUAGAAACAUAUU